rnacentral:lncRNA from 1 species
AGGACCUCAGGAUCUAGUGGAGAAGACCUGGGUCGGCCUGGGAUGUGUGUCACAGGAAAGGCCUGGGGGGAGAGGCUGCCGGCUUCCUGGAGGUCACACUGAGUCCUCCCCAGCAAUCCCUUCAGAGUGGGCUGAGAACACACCUUCAGGAGCAGGAGCGGACUGAUGCCAGCCCCCUCUGCGUCCUUGCCAGGCAGUUUGGCCAGGAUGAAGAGGCAGGAGUGCCAAGCAGUGACCAGCGCUCAGGGAGAGAAACCACAGAUUCGUCCAACGACCUUGAGCGAGAAGGAGCUUCCUUUCUUCAGGCCGCAGUUCUCCCAUUGAUGGAGAGAGGAACCACCCAGGCUGCCUAAGUGCUGUUUGUCCACUUCCUUGAAGGUGGGCUGGCCUGGUGACUGGUGGACCAGGAGGAUGAGGGGGAAGUGAUGAUGUGGAACUUCUGGACGCCAAGGAGCCUUGCGACUUCCACCUGGGCCCUCAGGCCACUCAUUCUUGGGACACUCCCUCUUGAAACCCAGCCAUCAGGCUCUGAGAAGCCCAAGCCAUGUGAAGAAGCCAUAGAUGAGGCAACUGAGGCUCAGAGAGGUGAAGUCACUUGCCCCAAAGGACACAGCCGGAGGUUCUCAGCAGCUGUGUUCACAGAAGUCAAAAACUGGAAACUCUUGGGACCGGCCCCGUGGCCGAGUGGUUAAGUUUGCGCGCUCUGUUGCGGUAGCCCAGGGUUUUGCCGGUUCGGAUCCUGGGCAUGGACAUGGCACUGCUUAUCAAGCCAUGCUGAGUUGGCAUCCCACAUGCCACACUAGAAGGACCCACAACUAAGAAUAUACAACUAUGUACCGGGGGGCUUUGGGGAGAAAAAGGAAAAAAGUAAAAUCUUUAAAAAAAACAGAACAAAACUGGAAACUCUCCAGAUGCCCAUCAACAGCAGGAUGGACAGAUAACUUGUGGUGCAGUCAAACUACGGAACAUGACCCAACAAGGAGAAAGAACCAGUAAACUAUAUGCAAGAAUAUGGAAGAAUUUCACAGACAGAAUGUUGAGCAAAAGAAGCCAGAGACAAAAAGGCUGCAUGUUGUAUGUUUUCAUUUAGGGGAAAUGCAAAAACAGGCAAAAGUCAUCCCUGGUAGUAGAUGUCAGGAUCAUGGCUACCCUUGGGGGGCGGAGGUGGUGAUGACUGGCAGGGAGCCUGAAGGGGGCUUCUGACCUUAGUGUUCUUCUUCUUCACCCAGGGACUGGUUAUAUCGGGUAGUCGAUUUGUGAACGUUUAUCAUAUGUGAUAUGUGUUUUAUCACUUAUGAUAUCAUAAAUGGUAAUGAUAAAAUAUAUCAUAAUUUUAUCAUUUAUGACAUGUGUACUUUCUUGUAUGUAUAUUACAUUUCAGUAAAAUGUUGUAAAAAAA